ACGGCUCAGUAACACGUGGAUAACCUGACCUUGGGUCCGGAAUAACCCCGGGAAACUGGGGAUAAUACCGGAUAACGCACAUAUGCUGGAAUGCUUUAUGCGUAAAAGGGUUUUACUGCCCAAGGAUGGGUCUGCGGCCUAUCAGGUAGUAAUGGGUGUAAUGGACCUACUAGCCGACAACGGGUGCGGGUUGUGAGAGCGAGAGCCCGGAGAUGGAUUCUGAGACAUGAAUCCAGGCCCUACGGGGCGCAGCAGGUGCGAAAACUUUACAAUGCGGGAAACCGUGAUAAGGGGACACCGAGUGCCAGCAUCAUAUGCCGGCUGUCCGGGUGUGUAAAAUACACCUGUCAGCAAGGGCCGGGCAAGACCGGUGCCAGCCGCCGCGGUAACACCGGCGGCCCGAGUGGUGAUCGUGAUUAUUGGGUCUAAAGGGUCCGUAGCCGGUUUGGUCAGUCCUCAGGGAAAUCUGAUAGCUCAACUAUUAGGUGUUCUGGGGAUACUGCCAGACUUGGAACCGGGAGAGGUAAGAGGUACUACAGGGGUAGGAGUGAAAUCUUGUAAUCCCUGUGGGACCACCUGUGGCGAAGGCGUCUUACCAGAACGGGUUCGACGGUGAGGGACGAAAGCUGGGGGCACGAACCGGAUUAGAUACCCGGGUAGUCCCAGCCGUAAACGAUGCUCGCUAGGUGUCAGGCAUGGCGCGACCGUGUCUGGUGCCGCAGGGAAGCCGUGAAGCGAGCCACCUGGGAAGUACGGCCGCAAGGCUGAAACUUAAAGGAAUUGGCGGGGGAGCAC
rnacentral:rRNA from 1 species